UACGUAGGGGGCGAGCGUUGUCCGGAUUUAUUGGGCGUAAAGGGCUUGUAGGUGGCCACGCGAGGUCGGAUGUGAAAUCUCCCGGCUCAACUGGGAGGGGUCAUUCGAUACUGGCAGGCUCGAGGCCGGUAGGGGGAAGCGGAAUUCCCGGUGUAGUGGUGGAAUGCGUAGAUAUCGGGAGGAACACCAGUGGCGAAGGCGGCUUCCUGGACCGGUUCUGACACUGAGGAGCGAAAGCGUGGGGAGCGAUCCGG
rnacentral:rRNA from 1 species